rnacentral:rRNA from 1 species
UACGUAGGGUGCGAGCGUUAAUCGGAAUUACUGGGCGUAAAGCGUGCGCAGGCGGUGAUGUAAGACCGAUGUGAAAUCCCCGGGCUUAACCUGGGAACUGCAUUGGUGACUGCAUUGCUGGAGUAUGGCAGAGGGGGGUGGAAUUCCACGUGUAGCAGUGAAAGCGUAGAGAUGUGGAGGAACACCGAUGGCGAAGGCAGCCCCCUGGGCCAAUACUGACGCUCAUGCACGAAAGCGUGGGGAGCAAAACAGG